rnacentral:rRNA from 1 species
GAUGAACGCUAGCGGCAGGCUUAAUACAUGCAAGUUGAGGGGCAGCAUGAUAUACGCGAGUAUAUUGAUGGCGACCGGCGGACGGGUGAGUAAUAGGUAGGAGACCUACCUCAUACAGGGGGAUAGCAUAGAGAAAUCUGUGGUAAUACCCCAUGAGGUUAUAUGAAUAGAGGCAUAUAAUCAAAGCAUAAGCGAUUAUGCGGUAUGAGAGGGGCCUACUGACCAUUAGCUAGUUGGUGAGGUAAGGGCUCACCAAGGCGAAGAUGGUUAGGGGUUUUGAGAGAGAGACCCCCCACAUUGGAACUGAGAGACGGUCCAGACUCCUACGGGAGGCAGCAGUAGGGAAUAUUGGGCAAUGGGCGAAAGCCUGACCCAGCCAUGCCGCGUGAAGGAAGACGGCCUUAUGGGUUGUAAACUUCUUUACUACGCGAAUAGAGGUUAGUACGAGAUACUAAUAGGAAGGUAGUGUAGUAAAAGCACCGGCUAACUCCGUGACCCG